rnacentral:rRNA from 1 species
UGAGGAAUAUUGGUCAAUGGGCGGAAGCCUGAACCAGCCAUGCCGCGUGCGGGAAGAAGGCCCUACGGGUUGUAAACCGCUUUUCCCCGGGAAGAAUAACCCCGACGCGUCGGGGGAUGCCGGUACCGGGGGAAUAAGGAUCGGCUAACUCCGUGCCAGCAGCCGCGGUAAUACGGAGGAUCCGAGCGUUAUCCGGAUUUACUGGGUUUAAAGGGUGCGUAGGCGGCCCUGCAAGUCAGCGGUGAAAUGUGGCGGUUCAACCGUUUCGCUGCCGCUGAUACUGUAGGGCUUGGAUGCGGUCGAGGCGGGUGGAAUUCGUGGUGUAGCGGUGAAAUGCAUAGAUAUCACGAGGAACGCCGAUAGCGAAGGCAGCUCGCCGGGCCGCGAUCGACGCUGAGGCACGAAAGCGUGGGGAUCAAACA